CUUUAUGGUCGGGAGGUUUCCGUGCAGAUUGCUCCACCUGGGAAAGGUUUGGAGCGAACAGUCUCUGCACAGCAAGGCCCUGUGCGGGAUGCUGGCGACAGCGGUGACCAAAAUUCAAGGCUCCACUCAAAACAAGCUGCAGUACACCUGGGAAAGCCAUGUGGUCAUAAUGAGUUAUGAAAUUUCACUGAUCCGAGCUCUGGAGGAAAAGAAGAUGGUUACAUGAGGGCUGCAUACGGAAGAGCCUGAACUUAUUAUCUGCGACAGGGCAUGGCCAGAGGAGAACUAUUGCUGUAAGAGUAUAAGAGAAUCCACAAUUUCAGAACCAAGAAAGACUGAGAUACAACUGCAAGGCAUUAUGGGAUUACCUGGCCAUGUUUCUAGUCAGAAAUCUGGGGAAAGUAGCUGUUAGUUCACAGAGUUAAAUACAUAUUGUCUCAAAUAAUUUUGCAUGUGUUUAUUGUUUUCCUCACAGUUAUACUAAAAGCAACAUGUAGACAGUCAUACAGUUAGCAUGGUCAUUUCCUUAGAGAAGUGACUGAUCCAAUCUUUGAAUUCUUCAUGAUUUGAGCACAGUGCUAUAUAGGAAAAUCAUGAUGCUCAAGGGCAGCAGAAGGAGCACUUGAAAGGUAAUAAUAAUAUGGUAAUAAUAGAGGCACAGUCUAACAUGGUUUACAUAUGUGUUCCUGUUUCAUUUUUAUUAUGAUCCUUUAAAGUAGGAACAAUUAUUCCUUUCAUUACUGAGAUAAAGAAAGCAAUUCUAUGUAAUGGUUAGGAACAUGGGCUCUGAAAUCAGACUGACUUCAAAGCAGGGCUCUGUUACUAGCUAUAAGACCUCUGAUGAGUUAUUUUAUUUUUCUGUGGGUCAGUUUCCUCAGCUAUAGUCUGGAUAAUGAUAAUGCUUACCCUGAGGAGUCAGGGAAUUAAAUGCAUGGAAAGUGCUUGUUCAGUGCCUGCAACAUAGUAAACACUAUACAACUGAAAACUAUUACUAUUCCAGAUGAAGAAUAUACAGCUCAGAGAUGUUAAGAAUUUCGCCCCAUGCCAAAAAAGGUGAUAGGACUAGAAAUAAAAUCUAGGUCUGCCUGGCCCCAAAGUCAGUUCUCUUAAUUGUUGCUAUGUACUAAUUCAAGCUAUUACACUAACAAAACAAAACUGUAGAUAAAAUACUUGACUUGGAAUUAGGUCCCAGGCACUUGGUUCAGGCCUGGCUCUGUAACUACCUUGUGGUAUCAUUUUGGGUAAGCCACAGCCCUUGCAUAGAGAACCCUCUCCCCACUUCCCAGCAGCCAGUGUCUUUAUUUACAGAGUGGGGUUGGACUACAUGAUCUCCAAGUUCCCACCCACUUUCUGUCUUCUAUGGUUCCAAGAAGAGCUUCCAGAUUUUGUGCACUGGUUGGGCAGUGACUGGCCAUGCAAUCACAUUAUCACCAUCUAAGACAUUUUUGUGGAACAAAAGCAGUUCUGUUUUUAUCUUGGACUUCCCAUUGUGUUUCUCCAUCCCUGGCUGUGUAAAUCGAAGGAGGAAGAAAAGGAAAGAGUCUACUUUUUUAUGUAGUAGGUAGUAGAAACAGUUAAAUUGAUGUUUAUCUAUAUACAUUUCUACAGCUUCUCUUUUUCUAAUUAUUUUUAUAGUGAACAGGUAUUUCUUUUAUAAGCCGAAGAAACUGCAAUCUUAAAAGAAUGCCAACAAUCCCAGUGGCACCAGUACACCUGAUAGCCACGUCUUGGAGAAAUGGCAGAUUCUAGGGCUGUGGCAGGAAAUAUGCAAGUAAGUCUGAGAAUCCUAGAGUGCCAGAAGGUAAGAAAAUGUUCAAAAACAUAGAAACCCUACAGUGCUAGGGAAAUAACAGAGACAUGGAAGCCACCAGAGAUCUCCCAAUGGUCAAAGCUGCAAAUGUUUGAGCAACAAAAUAAACUCGUAUUGAUUUAUAUACCAAAGCAUAAAAUAAAUAUCCAUGCAGCCAUGCUGAUAUAAAUACAUAAUUGACUAAAUAAAUAAAUGAGGGAGAAGAGGCAAAUCUCUCUUGCAGGAAAAUUCCAAAUAAUUUAUGUAGAUACUCUGCCCUACGGGCUUUGCAAAGCAGCCCCCUUCCAAAUAGGACAUCAUGGGAAUGGUGCAAGGAGUGAUGUCCCAGGGGAGAAACCUGACAACACUGCUCAUCCAGGUGACUGAGGUCAGCAUUCACAGGAUAGAUCAUGUUGACAGCAUGUAUCCUUGAUAUGACGUGAUGAAAAUGGUAGUUUACCUUUGUAAUGACCUUCCUUCUCCAAACCCAGUCUAAUCAUGAGAAAAACAUCAGAUAAAUUCCAAUAGAGGGACACCUUAUAAAAUACUUGACCAGUACUUCUCAAAACUGUCAAGAUCUUCAAAAACCAAGAAAGCUUGUACAGCUGCCAAAGCCAGGAGGAGCUCCAGGUGACACAAUGACUUAAAUGUACCAUGGUGUCCUGGAACAGAAAAAAAGACAGGUAAGAACUAAGCCCUAAUUAAACAAGGGAAUUGAGUUCAUCAUAACGCAUUAUUUUUGCCUCAUUCACUGAAACAAAUGUGCCACACCAAUGUAUAGGUGGGUGGGUAAGUAGAGCAGCCUUCCUGCUGGGGCAGCCAAGGUGGAAUUGAGCUAAGUCUACUUAUUCAGAUCAACACAUUUGCAAGUUUUGCAAGUUGAC